rnacentral:rRNA from 1 species
CUACGGGCGGCUGCAGUGGGGAAUAUUGCACAAUGGGCGCAAGCCUGAUGCAGCCAUGCCGCGUGUAUGAAGAAGGCCUUCGGGUUGUAAAGUACUUUCAGCGGGGAGGAAGGGAGUAAAGUUAAUACCUUUGCUCAUCGACGUUACCCGCAGAAGAAGCACCGGCUAACUCCGUGCCAGCAGCCGCGGUAAUACGGAGGGUGCAAGCGUUAAUCGGAAUUACUGGGCGUAAAGCGCACGCAGGCGGUUUGUUAAGUCAGAUGUGAAAUCCCCGGGCUCAACCUGGGAACUGCAUCUGAGACUGGCAAGCUUGAGUCUCGUAGAGGGGGGUAGAAUUCCAGGUGUAGCGGUGAAAUGCGUAGAGAUCUGGAGGAAUACCGGUGGCGAAGGCGGCCCCCUGGACGAAGACUGACGCUCAGGUGCGAAAGCGUGGGGAGCAAACAGGAUUAGAUACCCCCGUAGUC